rnacentral:rRNA from 1 species
CCUACGGGGGGCAGCAGUGGGGAAUAUUGCACAAUGGGGGAAACCCUGAUGCAGCAACGCCGCGUGAAGGAAGACGGUUUUCGGAUUGUAAACUUCUGUUCUUAGUGAAGAAUAAUGACGGUAGCUAAGGAGCAAGCCACGGCUAACUACGUGCCAGCAGCCGCGGUAAUACGUAUGGUGCAAGCGUUAUCCGGAUUUACUGGGUGUAAAGGGAGCGCAGGCGGCGCGUUAAGCCUGGUGUGAAAGCCCGCGGCCCAACCGCGGGACUGCAUUGGGAACUGGCGCGCUGGAGUGCCGGAGGGGUAGGCGGAAUUCCUAGUGUAGCGGUGAAAUGCGUAGAUAUUAGGAGGAACACCAGUGGCGAAGGCGGCCUACUGGACGGUGACUGACGCUGAGGCUCGAAAGCGUGGGGAGCAAACAGGAUUAGAUACCCGUGUAGUC